rnacentral:lncRNA from 1 species
CCUUCCACGAGCUCCUGCUUAGCAGUCUCUACCAGCUGAACCCCAGAAUCCUCUGUAGUUUGCUCGUCUACUCGCAUCAACACAAUACAUACAUAGUAUAGCAAAAAUUAACAUUACACCAAACAUAUAAAUAAAAUACACAGUAAUAAUCUAGACAUUAAAAUAAGAUCAUAGAAACUGGAAUCAUUAAAUUUGGAGUUAUAGAUUUUAAGUUAUGGAUUUUCUAAUGUUUUAUGUGCUUAAUACAAGAUUAUGUGAUAGAUAAAUUUUAAAUUGACGUUUAUGCCAAAACAGAGGCACUAAUGGUUAGACAAUAAUAUUAUAAGAAUUUAGGAACUGUAAUGGGUCAAUUUGGAGUUCGUAUGCAUUUUCUAUGAAUUAAACAAGUUUCUAGAUUUAUUUUUGCAUUAAAAAUCGAUUUCUAAUAUUAAUUUCCUAUUUUCAGCUCUCUCUGGAUUGGGCGCCAUUUUCUGUAAAACACAGGGGCGCCAAUGUAAAAACCCCGAGGCACAGAGAACAGUGCCCCGGGACGGCGGGUUGUUUUAAGGAUCUUAGAAGGGCUCUUUAGUAAAAAUGCUACCACGAAGGGGUACGCUGCACUACGGGCCGUUGGAUUCAAAUCUGAAGGCCGAGAUUAGAUCGUGUUUUAAAUGAAAGGGGUUUGUAACCGUGAUCCUCGGAUCUUAGAUCAACGGCCAGCACACCCCACAACACCCAACCAUCGGUUUCGAGAUCUGCGGCUACAAUUCACUAGAACGAAAGGGUAUGGGUGGUUCUAAUCUCCACCGCUCGCUGGCAAUCCGACGGCGCGCGUACACUCUUCCACCUCCGACGACCAGGGGAGGUGGAGCAGAGGCCCGCGGGGGCUCUCCACCAGCGCGCGGCGAUUCCGGCUAACCCGACCUCCAUCUCCAAAUUCCUUCGUUCCUCGCCCAAUCGACGAUGUUACAAACUCACCCUCCCUACCAAUUUCUACUGUCGUCGAGCACAGGGCUCAGUCCACAGCGCGCUAUACUUUUACAGUGGCGCCACCGCAACGCGCAGGUGGCCGGCCCUGCCAUCCAACGGCGAGCUCGCCGCCGUGACGGAAAAGGACCCAAGCAGCACCCAGCUCACGCCUAGCCAAAACUGUGGCAGAACCUCCCAAGUUAUUGGGCCCACAUGCACCUGUCCUUAUCUCAAAGACCUCAGACUACUAUGCAUGUGCACCAGAUAACUUAACAGGAUCCGUCUGAUUGCCCCAAGGACAUCGGAUAAACCACGAACAACCAGAACCGUGGGAUUAAGUAACACAAAUCACACACACCAAUAUUGUUGCAGCGGAAAUCUUACUACCAAAUUUUACAGGUUACAAAAAUUUUACAUUAGUUUAUCGGAGUGAUUACAAAAGUAUAAGUUUGAAAUAUAUGCUAGCUCAAGGGGUCAUCCUCAAUAAGAAGAUAAAGACGGGGUAUACUUAUAUAAGAAGGCCGAGCCCACCGGCACUUAACACCAUCACAACAGCACAAGGUUAGAACCUGAAAAACAACAGGGAAUAAAACCCUGAGUAUGGAAUUACUCAGCAAGUCUUACCCGACUAAGGAAAAGACUCUCAAGGGUAUGCUGGAUAAAUAGGAGUCAAGGAGAGGCUUUAGCAAAAAUCAACUUAUACUUUUGCAGAAGUAGCUUACUAAAGUGAGUCCUUACUUUCAAUCUUUUAACGCCAUAUUAAGUAUUAAUAGACUCUAUUUGCAUCUAGUCUAAUUUCAACAUCUCAUCAAUACAACAUCAUUUUUAUCCAUAGUGUUCACAUCCUGACUUUAGGUUGUAGAAAAGUGACCAAGUCUUCAUAACCGCGAAGGUACGGCGAUCCGAAUCGAUUAUACUCAGCUGAGGAUCUCCAAUCACACGACAUAUGUAGCACUUAACCCUUGCAUAUGUCAACCCGCCACCGGGGUUCUUAAGACCAGAUUAGGUUCACGCAAACCGAGAGCACAGAUACACCACCGUCCAGCCUCUUGCCACGGAGGGUACACGCUACUCUCGCCACCGCUCCACGCCCAUUUCGUGUUAUCUUAUUCUGGCCUUAGUCUGCCCGAGGCAAGGCUUACCCAUGACGAGGCAUGUGACCAGUUAAAGGGUCCUCGGUCAGCACGCCUACAUACGCAUUAAUCCUUAACCAACCUGGGUAGAACAUCACCUGUUCCUAACCCAAGUUUCAAUUUAAGUAUUUCCAUCCUUAGGAUUGUGUCUUUUCGUUAGGAUGAAAGAGCAUCACAGGGAACUUUGCAGUAAGAUCCCACUAUUGCUCCAAAUGAAAAUAUUCUUGCAGGUAGAAGCCAUCCUCUCCCGGGUUAGACUGAGGACAACCUCUAUCCACUAGAUCUAAGCAAGGCUAAGCAUUUUUGUAAAUCAUAAUUUUGAUACUUCACAGAAGUAUCUAUAAAGGUAUGGAUAUCAAGGAAAGCAAUGCAUCAAAGGGUUCCAAGCAACUCCUAUGAACCUAAUGCACAUUUCACUAGACUUAAAGUGUGCAAAAAGUAUUUAAAACACAAGGAAAGGUGUUGCAUGCACCGGGGCUUGCCUGAGUAACACUAGGUUAGUGUUGUUAGGUGAUGUCCGCUUGACGAGGAUUCUUCGACCGAGCACUUGCUUGAUUUAACCAUCUUCAGGUUGGUCCAUCAGCUUCAUCAGGCGGAGUAGCCCGCGCUUGGGGUCGACUUGGGUCUUCUUCUGCAUCACACGAUUAUUUAUCGUACCUGAAUGGAAUGCAUUAUGCACAUGAAUGCAUAUCAACGGAAAUAUUACAAACCUAAAUAGUGUUACGCGAUAGCGGAUUUAAACACCUAGCGGCGAGGCGUUGUACAAUUUUAUACAGAAACACUAGUUAUCGAUAUAUUGUUACCUACGACAAUCAUGCUCUUCUAACCUAGCUAAACAGUCGAGGUAGCAAUCAACAUCCAUUCCAAGCAUGAAAUCGAUCAACACAUAAAAUACCAUACCUAGUCUAGAGAACACAUUAAACGACUUAUAGUUUUAACUUCAAAAUUCUUGGGCACCUAACACUUAUAAAAUUUGAUAGAAGAACUUUCAUUAACUUUCUAAACUAAUUUACCGAUUAACUUGUGUAUCAAAUAUAUAUUAAUAACUUUCCAUUUUUAACACAUACAAUCCCGCAAACCCUAAGACUUAUUGAGAUCUUUUUCAUUACUAACUCCAUCGUACUUCACAUAUAUAUAAUCCUACCGCGAUGCGACUGCUUCCAAAUUAUAAAAAUAAACACAUCACAUUCAUUGAACUACUUCAAUAAUUAAGCUAACGGAAAUUUUGAAUCGGCUUACCAUUCUAAAUUUGACGCGCUAACAACGAACACGACAAGGAUUCUGGUACAGCUCUUGUGUCGAGCAUUUGGGGAAUACCACGCUGCUAGCUUCGUCUUCAUCCGAUUCUUGGGAUUCCUUGAUGACGCACGAAAUGAUGACGACCUUCGAUCGAAGUCUUCGACUGAGCACUUGAUAAGCGAUGCACAGGGACCUCGCUUAUUUUUCUCUAAAGUCCGGGCUUCGGGGUUCGAUGAGAUCAAGCAGGGAAGAACGAGGUUCGACGGGCUCAACGACGAUACGAAGCUACCACUAGUGACGAUACUACGAUGGCGACAUGGGCGAGCGCGACAAGGAAACGGCAAGGCUGAGCUGCGCGCGGCAAGGAGACUCGACUAGGGAGGGAAAUCCGAGCUGGAGGAACAAGGAGUAGGGGACUGGAAUCGAGCGCAAGCGAGCAAGCGACGACGCGAUUUCUGGAAUUCGACGACGAGGCAUGCCAGCGCGAGGGAGACGGAAUCCGAGCGCGGCGCGCAGGCACGAGCGAGCAGAACAGGCAGCUGGGGCUCGGCCGGCGAGUCAAGAGCUGCACGACUGGAUGUUGCUGCCAGCAAGAAGGGAAAGAGUUUCCCCGGCGAGCAGCGAGGGACGCCGAGCAGAGGGCGCUCCGGCCAAGAAGAAACAGGGCGCUGUCGAGGAGAGGCUCCGCGAGCUAGAGGAGCAAGGGAGGUAGGAAGAUGAGCAGCGCGGUCGGCCGAGAGGAACAGGCGCGCGCCACCAUGGGAGCUUGACGACGACCGGGCUGGGCGAGCCCCGGCGAACUGCAGAUGGCCGGCUGGGAGAAGGCGCGCAGGAACUGUGCGCGCAGGUAAGGAGAAUACAGAGGGAGCAGGGGUGGAAGCCGGCCACCAUGGCUGGGAGCCUGGGACAUGUACAAACGGCUCACAAGCAAGUAGAAGACCGGAGAAGGGCCUGUACGUGAUAUUAUCCCAGGAGAAGAAGCCGAGUGCGAGCCAGCAGAUGGAAGAACGAGCGCUUGUAAGAUAAAUCCGAUCACCGGAUGAGACUGAGAAGAGAGAGAUAAGAACACGGAACAAAAAUCUCACGCAGCAGAUAAAAAAAAAUCCCAGGAGGAUAAGCAGAGGCGUGGCUGGGAUUUUUUUCUCCAGAGACAGAGCGGUGUGUGCUGGAGAGAAGCUCGGCUUGGGCAUGAGCAUUCGACACUGAGGAGAUAAGAACGGUGGAAAAAAUAUCCACAAGUAGAUAGGACCGCAGAAAGAAAAAGAAAAGGCUAGAAAUCUGGUGGUCGACGUGAGCAAGGGAAAGUGAAAUUUCCUUCUCAUUUUCUAAAUAAAUCCACACAGAUAAACACAGUUUCAUGAUUUAGUGUUUAAAAGACGUAAAAAUUGUUCAAACCAAGAUAAGAUCGAUGACAGUAUUUGAACACUGUUCGACCUAGUGAAUAUUCUCAGCGUCAGAUAACUACUACCCGUUAUUUAUAUUUGAAGGUUUAGAUCGAGAAGAGAAACACACGGACUGAACCAGACUGAUUUCGGCUUUGAUAAUUUCAAUUUACGACUGAUUUCGUUGAAGUCAAACCGAUUAGCAAUUAUUUGAGUUCGGCUCUAAUUAUCUUGAUCCGAUUUAGUUUCGCAUCACUUCUAUCGUCGAGUUCCAGUUAAUUGGUUUGGGAUAAAAAUCGAAGGACUGGACUGAAUUCCCAAAUUCGUAUUUGCUCGAGCGAUGAAUUUUAAAUACUCACCGGACGCACCGAUUUUCAGAACAAAUAUGUUCCGAACAGCACGAGAAUUUAGGACGGGCCCGAAUAGAUGGAAAUAAAAACGAUAGCAAAAAUAAUUAGACCUUAGUGUUCAUCUUAUUCACUGAUAUCACGUGCUUAAAUCCAUACUCGAUGUCGAGCGGAAUAUAAACACCUGGGGUGUUACAGCCCUCCCCCCUUAAAAGAAUCUCGUCCCGAGAUUCGGAGCGAAAGACUUUCAAGAGUAGAGAAGCAUGUAACCCACGUCCAUAUCAGCAGUAAUCAUAAGGCAAUUCUGAGCGAAGACAAGUGUCUCAGGAUGUGGUUUCUCUAGUGGACAUAACAUAUAUCGCCUUAGGCUAAUUUAGAGAUGUCCAACAAUAGAGACAAUGCCUGCCAGAAGAACACAUAAGGUUCCAUGUGUGCAGUUCGCUUUUUCUGAUGACACUGUACUAUCUGAGUCUGUUGAGCAAGUGGCAGAUACACGAUUUUACCCAAACAGAAUCAGAUGCAACCAUCUUGGGUAAAACACAUAGAAAGAGGUUUACCAACAAGUGGUCAUGGUAAGUUCAUAAUACAUGAGACGAGUGUGGAUGUUGAAUAACAUCACAGUUAACUCGUGUUAGCCAGAGAAUCCAAGUCCAAGAAAAUGAUAGAGACUCGAAAAAAAUAUCAAUGGAAAGAUUCGUUGAUGUUGUCUUCGCAACCAUACCAUUUUAUCAAGCACUAGGCAUGGCUCGACAUGAUCACACACGCUGGAAAAGUACACGUGAGGCGAUCGAGGCAUGACUAGAGCGAUAAUUAGGCAGUUACUGGCCGACUUAAUCUUAAUUCUUGUAAGUACUUCCUUAGGAUGGGUUGACCCAAAGUGAGUUCAGACAACUCGAUAAAGCGAUCUCUAAACUCAACCUUUGAUCACAAGGCGGUUACAAGUUAGUAAAACCAACUUGUUGAACUACUUUUCGACAUUGAGCAAGUCCUCUCAGUACCAUCGGUAAGCCAACGGUCGAGAGCUCACAUUUGCUAGCAAAAGGUCAUGCAUUUGGGUAGAAAUCCAUUUGGUCAUGUUGUUCAUCCAUUUCUUCAUGCGAGAUGAAUUAUCCACUUGGUUAGGGAAUACAUGGAUUAAAUAAGGGAGCGAAUGAACAAACUCCUGCAUCUCAACAGCAGGGAAAAAUCAAUCUUCAUUUUGAGAGCUAAUCAGUUGUCUCUCGACACUAAAAAGCUCCAAGGUUUCACCUUUACACAAAGGAUGUAAAGGGAACUUGUAUAAGUAGUCACUACCAAGAUCCAAAGAAAAGAGACCACACAUGGAAAGUGGUAUGCCCUUUUGAUCGAACAGAGAUGAUAGAUGUUGCUUGAUCAUUUGACAAACAACAAAGAAAUUAUUUCAAGGGAAGGUCGACGGAAGAUAACACAUCAGUGUAAUUCCAUAAUGGAUCAUGACUAGAGACCUCGAUACCAGCAUACGCCAAGCAGCAUAACCUUGCGUGUACAUUCACAAGGGGCUCUCAGUUUCGCUGCGGCACCAUAAGUCAUUACCCAUGACACCACCACCGAACUAGCACCAAUAAUGAAUCUCACGUGGUAAAACUAGAUUGUGCCAAGAUAACACAUUGAUAUAGUCUCAUAAUGGAUUACAACUACUAACCGUGAUACCAGCGCGUGCCGAGCAGCACGACCAUGUGUGUACAUUCACAGGAGGCCCUCGGUUUCGUCACGGCACCAUCGGUUUUAGUCAUAACACCAUUACUAGACGUAACCAAUAAGAAAUCUCGUGCCACACUAAUAGGUUGAGCAAGGGUGACAAUAUACAAAGAGACUCUACCUGUCAAAACGGUUACAAGUAGAGAGCCAAAUAGAUCAUGGCCCAAUGAAAUGAACAGGGCAUGGCCAUAACCUAAACUUGAUUGAUGAAUGAGUACGAUGGGAGACUGUUAAUUCAGUCCCAAGCAUAUUUCUAUGCCCAUCGCAGAGAUCACAAGGUCAAGGAUUAGUAUUUGAUCAAAUACGGAGGGGAAACAAUCAUAAGAUCAAGUUGGUAUGCCUUUGAUAGAUAUGAGGAAACCAAAGGAAUCAAAUUAAUGAAGAUGAUCAGGCAUGACUUUCCUAGGUUGGGUUGAUAAAGUGACAAGAUAAUUCAACAUGGCGAUCCUUAAGAACAGGCGAACUGGUUAAGGUACAUCAGCUUGCACCAAUAAACAAGGGAAUGGUUUUAGAAGGAAACAUGACUCGAGAUUCUUGUUUAAGCCUAGGCACAAUUUAUGUCCAACAAAAAAAUUAUCUACGCAUUUAUUUGUAUGGGCUUUGUCAUGGAGUGAUAAUGGACCAUUCAAAUUUGAGGCAUGGUUCACUAAAUAAGAACAUGGCCUAAUUUUUGGUUUAAACAAACAGGUCACAACCUUCUAUCGGCACAUCCAGUACAAGGGAAAACACAUAUGACACCUAAAUAGAUUAUCUAAAGAACGGAGGACAGCUAUUUUAUCGAAGUCCAUAAUACCGCAUUACACUACAUUAUCUACAAUCAAUGGUUGCUGGAAUAAAGAUGAGAGAAGCAUUUUGGGUGUAUAGGUGACAAACAUGAUGCAACAAUCAGGAUGCAUGCUCGUCCUAUUCGUCCUCACUGAUUUUGCCAACACCCUGUGGCAAUAACGUUCUAUGUCGGUGGCAUACGUUCUCUCACGGUAUUUUUCUAGUCGUCAGCUACACAUACGUUUUCGAGGUUAGUGUACCUGCAUAAAAUCCAUCACAGCCCAAUUCCCAAUGAUGCAAGUCACACAUGACAGUUUAUCACAGUUUAUACUCCAUAUAUUGCUAUAUGGAGGCCAGCUCAUCAUUAAGCGCCGAGCCACGCAUAGGCGUCGUUGCCACACUUUAACCAUAGGGCAACUCAUUAUGGUAACUCACCUUCUUACCAGAGCAUAGGUGCGUCGUUACAAGUACAAUACACUUCUCAGUAUUCCCAUGUCUGUAUACCCAUACACAUCCAUGGGGUACUGAAUUCCCGGAAAAGUAAUUACUCCACAUCGCAGCCUUCAUAUAUACAUAUGUGGAACAUGUAUAUAAUCAAGCGCUACAAUCAAGCACUCCCCUAGACCGACGUUUGUUCGGUCAUGCUCUCACAUCUCACCUUACUUGAGCGUCGAUCCAUUCAGAACUGAAUGGCCUCAAAAAUAACAAUACACAUGUAUGCAAUACCCCCGGUUGUGGGUUAGUAGUUUUGAACUAAGCCACCUGAUAGUCCUUAACUUAGGGCUUAAUAGAGGAUGUCGCUAGCAUUAUAGUUUUUUUAAAACUAUUUUUCAAAACCAAACAAUGUGUUUAGAUGAAAAUAGGUUUUCAAAACCAAAACUUUUGUUCUGAAAAUACGUAUGUGACCGUAUAUACUUAAUCCAGCUCCGAUACCAGCUGUGGCAGAACCUCCCAAGUUAUUGGGCCCACAUGCACUUGUCCUUGUCUCAAAGACCUCAGACUGCUAUGCAUGUGCACCAGAUAACUUAACAGGAUUCGUCUGAUUGCCCCAAGGACAUCAGAUAAACCACGAACAACCAGAACCGUGGGAUUAAGUAACACAAAUCACACACACCAAUAUUGUUGCAGCGGAAAUCUUACUACCAAAUUUUACAGGUUACAAAAAUUUUACAUUAGUUUAUCGGAGUGAUUACAAAAGUAUAAGUUUGAAAUAUAUGCUAGCUCAAGGGGUCAUCCUCAAUAAGAAGAUAAAGACGGGGUAUACUUAUAUAAGAAGGCCGAGCCCACCGGCACUUAACACCAUCACAACAGCACAAGGUUAGAACCUGAAAAACAACAGGGAAUAAAACCCUGAGUAUGGAAUUACUCAGCAAGUCUUACCCGACUAAGGAAAAGACUCUCAAGGGUAUGCUGGAUAAAUAGGAGUCAAGGAGAGGCUUUAGCAAAAAUCAACUUAUACUUUUGCAGAAGUAGCUUACUAAAGUGAGUCCUUACUUUCAAUCUUUUAACGCCAUAUUAAGUAUUAAUAGACUCUAUUUGCAUCUAGUCUAAUUUCAACAUCUCAUCAAUACAACAUCAUACAUAGUGUUCACAUCCUGACUUUAGGUUGUAGAAAAGUGACCAAGUCUUCAUAACCGCGAAGGUACGGCGAUCCGAAUCGAUUAUACUCAGCUGAGGAUCUCCAAUCACACGACAUAUGUAGCACUUAACCCUUGCAUAUGUCAACCCGCCACCGGGGUUCUUAAGACCAGAUCAGGUUCAGGCAAACCGAGAGCACAUAUACACCACCGUCCAGCCUCUUGCCACGGAGGGUACACGCUACUCUCGCCACCGCUCCACGCCCAUUUCGUGUUAUCUUAUUCUGGCCUUAGUCUGCCCGAGGCAAGGCUUACCCAUGACGAGGCAUGUGACCAGUUAAAGGGUCCUCGGUCAGCACGCCUACAUACGCAUUAAUCCUUAACCAACUUGGGUAGAACAUCACCUGUUCCUAACCCAAGUUUCAAUUUAAGUAUUUCCAUCCUUAGGAUUGUGUCUGUUCCUUAGGAUGAAAGAGCAUCACAGGGAACUUUGCAGUAAGAUCCCACUAUUGCUCCAAAUGAAAAUAUUCUUGCAGGUAGAAGCCAUCCUCUCCCGGGUUAGACUGAGGACAACCUCUAUCCACAAGAUCUAAGCAAGGCUAAGCAUUUUUGUAAAUCAUAAUUUUGAUACUUCACAGAAGUAUCUAUAAAGGUAUGGAUAUCAAGGAAAACAAUGCAUCAAAGGGUUCCAAGCAACUCCUAUGAACCUAAUGCACAUUUCACUAGACUUAAAGUGUGCAAAAAGUAUUUAAAACACAAGGAAAGGGGUUGCAUGCACCGGGGCUUGCCUGAGUAACACUAGGUUAGUGUUGUUAGGUGACGUCCAAUGACGAGGAUUCUUCGACCGAGCACUUGCUUGAUUUAACCAUCUUCAGGUUGGUCCAUCAGCUUCAUCAGGCGGAGUAGCCCGCGCUUGGGGUCGACUUGGGUCUUCUUCUGCAUCACACGAUUAUUUAUCGUACCUGAAUGGAAUGCAUUAUGCACAUGAAUGCAUAUCAACGGAAAUAUUACAAACCUAAAUAGUGUUACGCGAUAGCGGAUUUAAACACCUAGCGGCGAGGCGUUGUACAAUUUUAUACAGAAACACUAGUUAUCGAUAUAUUGUUACCUACGACAAUCAUGCUCUUCUAACCUAGCUAAACAGUCGAGGUAGCAAUCAACAUCCAUUCCAAGCAUGAAAUCGAUCAACACAUAAAAUAUCAUACCUAGUCUAGAGAACACAUUAAACGACUUAUAGUUUUAACUUCAAAAUUCUUGGGCACCUAACACUUAUAAAAUUUGAUAGAAGAACUUUCAUUAACUUUCUAAACUAAUUUACCGAUUAACUUGUGUAUCAAAUAUAUAUUAAUAACUUUCCAUUUUUAACACAUACAAUCCCGCAAACCCUAAGACUUAUUGAGAUCUUUUUCAUUACUAACUCCAUCGUACUUCACAUAUAUAUAAUCCUACCGCGAUGCGACUGCUUCCAAAUUAUAAAAAUAAACACAUCACAUUCAUUGAACUACUUCAAUAAUUAAGCUAACGGAAAUUUUGAAUCGGCUUACCAUUCUAAAUUUGACGCGCUAACAACGAACACGACAAGGAUUCUGGUACAGCUCUUGUGUCGAGCAUUUGGGGAAUACCACGCUGCUAGCUUCGUCUUCAUCCGAUUCUUGGGAUUCCUUGAUGACGCACGAAAUGAUGACGACCUUCGAUCGAAGUCUUCGACUGAGCACUUGAUAAGCGAUGCACAGGGACCUCGCUUAUUUUUCUCUAAAGUCCGGGCUUCGGGGUUCGAUGAGAUCAAGCAGGGAAGAACGAGGUUCGACGGGCUCAACGACGAUACGAAGCUAUCACUAGUGACGAUACUACGAUGGCGACAUGGGCGAGCGCGACAAGGAAACGGCAAGGCUGAGCUGCGCGCGGCAAGGAGACUCGACUAGGGAGGGAAAUCCGAGCUGGAGGAACAAGGAGCAGGGGACUGGAAUCGAGCGCAAGCGAGCAAGCGACGACGCGAUUUCUGGAAAUCGACGACGAGGCAAGCCAGCGCGAGGGAGACCGAAUCCGAGCGCGGCGCGCAGGCACGAGCGAGCAGAACAGGCAGCUGGGGCUCGGCCGGCGAGUCAAGAGCUGCACGACUGGAUGUUGCUGCCAGCAAGAAGGGAAAGAGUUUCCCCGGCGAGCAGCGAGGGACGCCGAGCAGAGGGCGCUCCGGCCAAGAAGAAACAGGGCGCUGUCGAGGAGAGGCUCCGCGAGCUAGAGGAGCAAGGGAGGUAGGAAGAUGAGCAGCGCGGUCGGCCGAGAGGAACAGGCGCGCGCCACCAUGGGAGCUUGACGACGACCGGGCUGGGCGAGCCCCGGCGAACUGCAGAUGGCCGGCUGGGAGAAGGCGCGCAGGAACUGUGCGCGCAGGUAAGGAGAAUACAGAGGGAGCAGGGGUGGAAGCCGGCCACCAUGGCUGGGAGCCUGGGACACGUACAAACGGCUCACAAGCAAGUAGAAGACCGGAGAAGGGCCUGUACGUGAUAUUAUCCCAGGAGAAGAAGCCGAGUGCGAGCCAGCAGAUGGAAGAACGAGCGCUUGUAAGAUAAAUCCGAUCACCGGAUGAGACUGAGAAGAGAGAGAUAAGAACACGGAACAAAAAUCUCACGCAGCAGAUAAAAAAAAAUCCCAGGAGGAUAAGCAGAGG